ensembl:lncRNA
CGGAAACUCAGUGGUAACGCAGGAACAUUUGCUGGAGCAUGCAGGCAAAGCUGCCCCUAAACAUUGAAAACAUGCACCUUAGCUGGCUAAUUAGAUAUACAAUGUAAUUUCUGGUAAAGCAGAUCAUAUCAACUUGUCGACUUACUUAAGCAAGCUAGUUAAAUAUUAGCUAGCUCACAAAACUCCCGGUCAGCUUAUCCUAAUUAUUCGCUAGCUGGAACAUUACUAAUAACGUUAGCUAUAGUUAGCUAGCUAAAACGCAAGUUUCGGCUAAACGACUUGCCUCCAUGAAUGUCAUUGAUAUUUGCAGACUUUGAUACUGUUUAAUCUGCACCCAUCACGCGUAAAAGUAAGAUACUUUCUUUGUAUUAUUACUUUUUUCCCCUUUGCAUUAUUACUUGCUAGCUGGCUAGAGGUGCCCGUGACGUCACCAAUAUUGUGAGCCAGCUAACUACUACCUCAGGUUGAACGCCGCUCUGAUCAACUUUUGUUGUUGGACCAAGACAUCUAUAGUUUGCCAAAUCCAAACUUUGGCUUGUCUGGUUUAGACGCCAGCUCGUGUACCAGUGCUGAUAAUGUGUUGAAUGUUGAUAAUGCAUGAAAUGUCCAUGCCUUCAACCAAAAUAGUUGAAUCAAGAUCUAACAUCGCCAUCUUACUGUCCUAUAGCUAACACUUUGUUUACUCCCACAAGUACCAUUAACAAUUGGUCUCGGUAAAGCACUGGAGUAUGAUUGAGGACUUAUGUCAACUCACUUCUCUUUCUCCUUGUAGUAGCCCCAGGAUGGUGUGUGAACUGCUACUCUCCUCACUGUGGUUCCUCUUUGUCAUCUUCUGGGUGGAGACCAUAAGCGUUUGGCUGUUUCUAUGCAUCUUCUACCAGGAUCGGGCAUUUUAUCACUGGGGGGACGGGUACCUAGUCAUAUUUUACACACAGGUAAUUUACUGAAUGUCAGUAAUUUUACAAUCAUCCAUACCAGCCUUUCUCAUUCUGUUAUUACAGGGCAUUUGCAGAUGACCCCGGUCAAAUGCUGUACAUGUUGAGCAGAGUUGAUCCUUCUGGACAGAUGCAGACCUGAGAAAGGAAAAUGAUGAGGAACAGCACAUGAUGUAUUGUCCACCAGAUACACUAUUAUGGGAGCUAUGUAUUUAUAUAUAUAUAUAUAUAUAUAAAAAAAAAACUCCUACAUGAACAUCCCCUCUCCUGUUACCCUCUUAAAUUUAGAGCAUGGUCCUUGUCAACUUGAACAGACUCCGCCUACAAAGUAGUUGGAUUGUGUUGGAUAUGGUUUGAGACAUCCAGCAUAGCAGGAACAACCAGGUUCCUGUAGUUACUGUAGAAUAUAGAUGCAUAAUGAGGCUGGUGAUUGUUCCCCACCAAAGCAUGAACCAACAUCCAUCUAUUUCUGUGGUUUAUUUGAAUAUGUGAUCUAGGUCACACAAUGUAGAAAAACACAAGGCAAAUACAUAGACAUUGGUUUUUCUUACUUGAGAUUUAGUCCAUGGUCAACAUCCUAUCAUUUGUGGAUUUUGGCAGACUUGCACAUUCUAAUGGCUGUACACGUUUUGUUUGUUUUCUCCGAUGUGUGUAUACAUGAUCUUCAGUCGUGGGCACUUACAUGACUGUCACGGGAUUGUUUUAUGUGUAACUAAUGUAACUGUAAAAAAAACUAACAACUUUGUUGAAAUAUACAUUUUCAAUGAAAAGCUUUAUGUUUGGAAAUGUUCCAAUGUAAUGAAAAUAUAAUUUGCACUCAUUGAGUAUUUUACAAGUUUUGUAAUAUCCUCUGAAACUGUUGUAGAUGUUUUUUUUAUGAAGACUGUAGAUGUGGUGUUCUCAGUUUGUAUCACUUGUAAAGUUUAAAUCACAAUAAUUAAGCCAUUAAUGCUCUCCUAGCACAUCAGAAAAAAAAUAUUACGACACCUAAAAUAAGACCACAUUUUAUCUUGUACUGGUCAAUAACUUGUAUAUUGUCUUCAGUGAUUUGCAUCCAUCUCUAAUGUAUGUCAUAGCCUAAGUCUCUGCAUUGUCUUCUUGUUAGGAAAGCAAGAAGGCUAAACUAGGCGUGGACGCGGAUUGGUUUGCAUUUCCUAUAAAGUUAGGAUAUGUUUGCAUCCGAAGAAGGAAUAAAUUAUAACAUUUUCCAAGCCUGUUUAUGCACUGUGCUUUUUUAUUUUCAUUUGGCUGCUGAUUGGUUCUCCGGUCAACCAGCCAUUUGUCAAUUGUAUGUUCCAAUUCUAAAAAGGGGCAGUUUUGUGUUGUUUUAGUGGCUUGUUUAUUAAACAUAAUGUACAAUCAUAGACGAAAUCCAUCUAACAAAUAUUCGUUUGCAAAAAAAUGAAUGCAAUUGAUUCACUCCCUCCUAACAGUUAGCAACAAAAUGGCUGGUUUAAAACGAGGUUUCCUGAAUCCCAGAUAAACCCCUUUCCCCCACCGAAGUUUCCUGAAUCCCAGAUAAACCCCUUUCCCCACCGAAGUUUCC